rnacentral:rRNA from 1 species
UUAGCCGAAGGGCGAAGCCGAUGGGAAACAGGUUAAUAUUCCUGUACAUGUAUCAGCUGUGAUGGGGUGACGAAGGAGCGUAAGGUUCGCCCACUGACGGAAUAGUGGGUUGAAGGGAGAAGGCGUUGAAGAUAUAGGCAAAUCCGUAUCUGAGCUGAGACCUGAUAGUACACAAGUCCCUUGGGAUGAGUGAUAGUGACUGUAAGCAUACUUCCAAGAAAAACCUCUAAACUUCAGGCUGACACAUCCCGUACCGUAAACCGACACAGGUAGUCGAGGAGAGUAUCCUAAGGCGCUCGAGUGAUCCGUGGCUAAGGAACUAGGCAAAAUGGUCUCGUAACUUCGGGAGAAGAGACUCCCCUCGUGAGAGGGGACGCAGUGAAGAGGCCCAGGCGACUGUUUAACAAAAACACAGGACUCUGCAAAAUCGUAAGAUGAAGUAUAGGGUCUGACACCUGCCCGGUGCUGGAAGGUUAAGGAAGGGGGUUAGUGCGCAAGUGCGAAGCUCUUAACUGAAGCCCCAGUAGACGGCGGCCGUAACGAUAACGGUCCUAAGGUAGCGAAAUUCCUUGUCGGGUAAGUUCCGACCUGCACGAAUGGUGUAACGAUCUGGGCGCUGUCUCAGCCACGAGCUCGGUGAAAUUGAAGUAUCGGUGAAGAUGCCGAUUACCCGCAACGGGACGGAAAGACCCCGUGAACCUUUACUACAACCUCACAUUGAGCUUGAAUACAGGAUGUGUAGGAUAGGUGGGAGGCUACGAAGCUGUGACGCUAGUCAUGGUGGAGCCAACGUUGAAAUACCACCCUUCCUGUAUUUAGGUUCUAAUCCCUAAAAGGGAAACAGUGUGUGGUGGGUAGUUUGACUGGGGUGGUCGCCUCCAAAAAAGUAACGGAGGCUCGCAAAGGUACACUCAGCAUGGUCGGUAAUCAUGCGAAGAGCGUAUUAGUAUAAGUGUGCUUGACUGAGAGACCGACGGGUCGAUCAGGAACGAAAGUUGGCUAAAGUGAUCCGGUGUUUCCGCAUGGAAGGGACAUCGCUCAAAGGAUAAAAGGUACUCCGGGAUAACAGGCUGAUCCUACCCAAGAGCUCAUAUCGACGGUAGGGUUUGGCACCUCGAUGUCGGCUCGUCACAUCCUGGGGCUGGAGAAGGUCCCAAGGGUUGGGCUGUUCGCCCAUUAAAGUGGCACGCGAGCUGGGUUCAGAACGUCGCAAGACAGUUCGGUCCCUAUCAGUUGUGGGCGCAGGAAUAUUGAAGGGAGCUGAUUCUAGUACGAGAGGACCGAAUUGGACGUACCGCUAGUGUACCGGUUGUGGCGCCAGCUGCACCGCCGGGUAGCUAUGUACGGCAAGGAUAAGCGCUGAAAGCAUCUAAGCGCGAAGCCAUCCCUAAGAUGAGUAUUCCAGCACGUAAGUGUAAAGGACCCCAGAAGACUACUGGGUUGAUAGGUUAUAGGUGGAAGUGCAGUAAUGUGCGUAGCCGAGUAAUACUAAUUGUCCGACAGCUUCCUC